GCAUCCGUAGCUCAGCUGGAUAGAGUACUCGGCUACGAACCGAGCGGUCGGAUGUUCGAAUCCUCCCGGAUGCACCA
rnacentral:tRNA from 1 species